rnacentral:lncRNA from 10 species
GAUACCACAUUACAUGUCGUCAUUAGGUCUCCUUAGGCUCCUCUUGGCAGUCACAGUUUUGAAGACUUUCCUUGUUUUGAUGACUUUGAUCAUUUUGAGGAGUACCGGUCAGACACUAUAGCUGGUAAUACGCUGGGUUACACCUGAAGCCAGCAAGUCUCUGAGUUUCACCCAAGGCCUGAAGAGGGUACUGCCUGGCUACCACUCCUGAAUUUUCAGGACUCAAGGACUCUUUAGUCAGCAGGUUCUGCCAGGACUUGGUCUUUCCUUUCAAAUCAACAGGUUCCCAUCUGGCCCAGGCUGUGUCUAGAAAUGUCAUCUGGGAUCUAAGGCCUGAAAUGGGCGUGUCAGAACUCUUCCUGGUGCACUCCUUUAUUGUGACUAACCUGGUAUCCAGGGUGCAAGACAAAGUCCUCUUUACUCUCCUCUCCCCUCCCCUCUCCUCAAGAAGAAGAAAAGAAUCUCUCCUGGAACUGCAAGCUGAACUUCCUGGGGUUCUGGGAAGGGUGACACAAACACUUCCUUGGCCACCCUGGUUGGUGUCUCACCGGGUCACAUGUGCUCCAAGUCCAUUGGUUCUGAGCUCAGCACAGCACCAGGAAUUGCCUAGGAAUUACAGUCCUGGUGAUCUAAAGUGCCUCGCAAGUGUAUUUAGAACCCCAGAGCACUUAAACCUGCUAGAGUGGCAGGGCUUGCUGAAACUCAGUUUCUGACUGCUGGAAUGGACAAUUCACCUCUGGCUAGAGCUUAUCUAGAUGCUCCCUUGGAGGACACAAGCUGGGUUGUUCCCAGUGUUGCUUUCUGCUGUGAUAAGGUAGCACUGAUUUCCAAUGUGAAGUCCCACAAUCACUACAUUCUCUCUCCCCAAAAUGCACAGGUUCUUUCUCCGUGACCCACGACCACUGCUAGGGGAUGGGUAACCUGUGGUGUAAGCAAUUCAAGACUACCUUCUUCAGUGCAUGUUUCCUUAAUAUGAUGUUAAUAUCAAGUACUGUGAUAGCUCACCUGAGUUUCACUUCUUAUAAUGGUGCUUUUGUUGUACGGAUAGUUGUUCAAUUUUGUUUUCCUGUUGGGAAGGAUGACUUUCGGUGCUUCUCUUCUGCCAGACCUUUGGUGUAGGCAAUUCAAGACUGUUUUUUUCUACCCUCUUCAGUGACCU